AUGGCUGGUUUCAGAUGGAUAAGGCCCGAGGUAUACCCAUUAUUUGCUGCAAUGGGCACAGUUGUUGGAAUAUGCGCCAUGCAACUUGUUAGGAACAUAUGCACCAAUCCUGAAGUCAGGGUAAACAAAGCGAACAGAAAGGCUGGUGUGCUGGAGAACUACUCUGAGGGUGAGGGAUAUGCUGAACACAGAGUCAGAAAAUUUUUACGCACUAGGCCACCUCAGGUUAUGCCGUCUGUUAACAAGUUCUUCUCUGACCCAGAUUUGGAAUGA